rfam:Solanum tuberosum cultivar DM 1-3 516 R44 scf00004_94, whole genome shotgun sequence.
AGGCAGCCCCCUUUUCUUCCUAUAAAAGGAUAUGGAAAGGGAGGUGUUAAUCUGCUCGUAAAUUAAAAUUGCUUUUGCUCUUCAGAUUUGCUGAGAUUUUAACUAAUCUCUGAAGCUGGUCUAGUAAGCUUUAGUACAUU